UUAACACAUGCAAGUCGAGCGGAAAGGCCCUUUCGGGGGUACUCGAGCGGCGAACGGGUGAGUAACACGUGAGUAACCUGCCCUGGACUUUGGGAUAACCCUCGGAAACGGGGGCUAAUACCGAAUACGACACUCCACCGCAUGGUGUGGGUGUGGAAAGUUUUUCGGUCUGGGAUGGACUCGCGGCCUAUCAGCUUGUUGGUGGGGUAAUGGCCUACCAAGGCGACGACGGGUAGCCGGCCUGAGAGGGCGACCGGCCACACUGGGACUGAGACACGGCCCAGACUCCUACGGGAGGCAGCAGUGGGGAAUAUUGCACAAUGGGCGGAAGCCUGAUGCAGCGACGCCGCGUGAGGGAUGACGGCCUUCGGGUUGUAAACCUCUUUCAGCAGGGACGAAGCGCAAGUGACGGUACCUGCAGAAGAAGCGCCGGCCAACUACGUGCCAGCAGCCGCGGUAAGACGUAGGGCGCGAGCGUUGUCCGGAUUUAUUGGGCGUAAAGAGCUCGUAGGCGGCUUGUCGCGUCGACUGUGAAAACCCGCGGCUCAACCGCGGGCCUGCAGCCGAUACGGGCAGGCUAGAGUUCGGUAGGGGAGACUGGAAUUCCUGGUGUAGCGGUGAAAUGCGCAGAUAUCAGGAGGAACACCGGUGGCGAAGGCGGGUCUCUGGGCCGAUACUGACGCUGAGGAGCGAAAGCGUGGGGAGCGAACAGGAUUAGAUACCCUGGUAGUCCACGCUGUAAACGUUGGGCGCUAGGUGU
rnacentral:rRNA from 1 species